rnacentral:rRNA from 1 species
GAUGAACGCUGGCGGCGUGCCUAAUACAUGCAAGUCGAGCGAACGGACGAGAAGCUUGCUUCUCUGAUGUUAGCGGCGGACGGGUGAGUAACACGUGGAUAACCUACCUAUAAGACUGGGAUAACUUCGGGAAACCGGAGCUAAUACCGGAUGAUAUUUUGAACCGCAUGGUUCAAAAGUGAAAGACGGUCUUGCUGUCACUUAUAGAUGGAUCCGCGCUGCAUUAGCUAGUUGGUAAGGUAACGGCUUACCAAGGCAACGAUGCAUAGCCGACCUGAGAGGGUGAUCGGCCACACUGGAACUGAGACGCGGUCCAGACUCCUACGGGAGGCAGCAGUAGGGAAUCUGCCGCAAUGGGCGAAAGCCUGACGGAGCAACGCCGCGUGAGUGAUGAAGGUCUUCGGAUCGUAAAAAUCUGUUAUUAGGGAAGAACAUAUGUGUAAGUAACUGUGCACAUCUUGACGGUACCUAAUCAGAAAGCCACGGCUAACUACGUG